AUGACAACUAGAAAACCAUCUGUUGCAAAAAGGAGAGGAACGGCUGAACCAAUUAAGUUAGGUGCGUUGGAAAAAGAUGAUUUCUGGUUAUUGUUUAAAGCACAUGCAUUUGGUGAUGAGAACUACGAAGAGCAAGAAAGUCUAAGUGGCAUAGGACAAAAAAUAGCACACAAGUUAAAAGGAAACCCAUUAGCGACACAAACUGCAGGAGCACUAUUAAUAGAGCAUCUCACCGUUGAACAUUGGACUAACAGUCUAAAGAAUGAAGAUUGGAAAUCUCUGCACCUCAGUAGUGGAAUUAUGUCAUCUUUGAAGUUUUGCUAUGACGAGCUGCCCUUCCAUUUACAGCAGUGCUUCUCAUAUUGUUCUAUAUUCCCAUACGGUUAUCAGUUUCCCGCGGAGGAGUUAGUCUGUAUGUGGAUUUCACACGGAUUUGUGAAGCUAGACGAUUCAAGUGCGAGUUUAAAGGAUACGGGAUGGUACUAUCUAACUGACUUGGUGAACCUGGGCUUCUUUGAGCAAGUCAUCUCUUCGGUCAGACAAACUUCCUAUUCCAUUAGUGGUCUCAUGCAUGAGUUUGCAAGGGUUGUUUCAAGAACGGAGUGUGCAACAAUAGAUGGUAUAUAUUGCAAUGAAAUAUUGCCAACUGUACACCAUUUGUCAAUACUAACUGAUUCAAUAUAUUCCAUGGAUGAUCAGAUGAGCAACAUACCUUGUAGCAGGAAGUUUGAAGCAAAAUUGAGAAGUUCAUUUACAUCAGUGAAAAAAUUGAGGUCAUUGGUGUUAAUUGGGCAGUAUGACUCUUUCUUCUUCAAAGCCUUCCAAGAAGUAUUCCAAAAGGAACAUCAUUUGCGAGUGCUGCAUUUGUCUGCAACAUCUGCUGAUUUUCAUUCCUUCUUGUGUAGUAGGGUAAAUCAUAGACAUCUCCAGUAUCUGAAACUUCAGGACAGUCAUGUUGAGUUGGGUUCCUCGCCUCAAGUUUCGAGCAAGUUUUUCAAUCGAGUGUUAGAUGGUUGGCUUACCUCUUUACAAACAAUUCAUCUAGAGAACUGUGGAGAAUGCUGGAUAGUUCCAUCACUGAAAAGGCUUCCGUCUCUUACAAGGUUAUUUUUGAGAAACAUGCGGAAAGUAAGAGAAGUAUCGUUUCCAUCAUUGGAGGAGCUAGUUUUAGUUGAAAUGUCAGAGUUGGAGAGUUGUGUGUGCACUUCUCUUGGAGAUAUGAACUCUAGUUUAAGGGUAUUGGAUAUCCGAAAUUGCCACGCACUCAAGAUGUUUGAUUUGCUUGAGAAACAUCAUAGCUUCAAAAUGAAGAAGGGUUCAUGGUUGCCCAAUCUUAGGAAGUUCAUUGUUUACGAUUGUCCUCACUUGGAAGUAGUGAUCCCUCUUCGGCCUUCAGCCACAUUUUCUGAACUUUUAAUCAGCAGAGUUUCAACAUCUUUGACAAUAGACAAGUUUUACAUGGAAACAUUCGAAAUUAGGCCAAAUAGUCUUUUGGGUGAGUCUUUUGGUGAGAUGAGAUUGGAUGAAAAAAUCUUGGCAUUCCAUAAUCUGAGGGACCUCAAAUGUUUGGAAAUAAGUUUCUGCAGGAAUCUGACGUCUAUUCCACUAAUAAGUUUUCAUCAGCUCGUAUCUUUAGAGAGUUUGACAAUAGUGGGCUGCACAAAACUCUUCUCUUCGGAUGUUGUGUCAGCGCACACCCAUGAAGAUAUGAUAGCUGCAGAUUAUAUAGCCCUCCCAUGUCUUGAAAGUCUCAGUAUUUUUUCAUGUGGAAUAACGGGGAAGUGGCUAUCUCUGAUGCUUCGACAUGCGCCGGCAGUGAAGAAAUUGAUGUUAAAUGGCUGUCCAAAGUUGACACAGUUACGGAUUGAAGAGGAAGAAAACGGCCAGUCGAAUCUCAACCCAGCCUCGGAGGCUUCAUCAUCAGGAUAUCAAAAUGGUUUGUCAGCAAGCUCAGAUCCAGACGGUUUGUGGUGCAUCCCGUCGAAUCUCACCACUUCUCUCAAAACUAUAACUAUUGAAAGAUGCCCUCAUCUAAUAUUUGACGUCGCCAGAUUUACCUCCCUCGAGGAACUACAAAUACUCGGGGGAUGCCCCAAGAUGCUCUCGUCUUUGGUGCACAGAAGACUGCUCCUACCGCAAUCACUUGAACAAAUUGCAAUAUAUGAAGAAUGCAAAUCACUCACUGCAUUACACGGCAUGGAAUCGCUCAGGACUCUCAGGGCUUUGGCACUAUAUUCGAACUCAAGUUUGGAGCUUCUAGAGCUGAAACCGUUGACACUGCUGGAAGAUCUUGAGAUUGUACACUGUACUUCGCUCGUCCCACUAGAGGGCUUGCGAUCCCUCGUGAACCUCAGGCAUUUCAAAGUAGUCGGAUCCCUGACAGGGUUUGGAGAGAGUUGUGAUGGGACCAUUUUCCCUAGACUGGAAAGUCUUACUAUCGAUAUGUUGUCUCGCCUUACCACGCCAUUCUGCAAGGGCCUUACCUGCCUCCAACAACUAAAGCUAUAUGAUUUGAAAGAAGCAAGAUUAACAGAUGAGCAAGAGAAGGCACUUCUGCAGGUCCCUGCAGGAUCUCCAUUUUCUCAACUGUGA
rnacentral:rRNA from 1 species